AAAUUGAAGAGUUUGAUCAUGGCUCAGAUUGAACGCUGGCGGCAGGCCUAACACAUGCAAGUCGAGCGGUAACAGAAAGAAGCUUGCUUCUUUGCUGACGAGCGGCGGA
rnacentral:rRNA from 1 species